rnacentral:misc_RNA from 1 species
UCCGAGCAGUUCCAAAAACCUCAUAAAACCCCUCGCCCUCAAUUUUAAGAGAGAGACAAAGAGAACCUCGAUUUCUUUUUCAGAGAGAGAAGUGGAGGGAAAAUUACAGCAACCCUCUUGGGGAAAUGGCUACUCAGUUCCCGGACGAUUUCAAGUGCCCGAUUUCUCUCGAGAUAAUGUCCGACCCGGUAAUCCUCUCUUCGGGUCACACCUUUGACCGUGCUUCUAUCCAACGGUGGCUUUACUCCGGCCACCGUACUUGCCCAAUAACU